AUGGCAAGCAGCCAGAUUUUCUAAGAUCCUCAAUGAUAUGGAGAAUUUAAGAGAUGAUGAAGGCCAGACAAGGAGGCAAAGAACGCUUUCAGCCUUUCCCUCCAUCUGCAGUGUAUUUCUAUUUUAGUAAUACUAGAAAAAGGCUAGUAUUUUCAUCUGACACAGUUGCAGUUACUAACUAAAGAUGUCUAUCUAGGCAUACAUAGGAAUAUGUGAUGUGAUUGUAUCCAAAGAUAAUGAAGAAAUAAUGAAGCCCAUGCUACGAAACUUACUACUACUUUACGAACAGCCCACAUGGAUCUGGGGCUUCAAGAUGGAGAAGACACGGAGGAGAGGCUAGUUCUAAAGAGACAUAGGAUUGUACUCCACGUUGCUGAUAUUCCUUUGAACAGGGGCAGGUGGCAUAAGAGUAUAAAGACUUCUGCUGCAAGCCAUUCAGCUAAAAGCUUGAGAAGAAGUAACAGACUGUCCACACAUUUGUGCUAGGCUUCUGAAGGUCUCUACUUGAUUUGUUCUCUCCAAAGCAACAAAGGCUGACAUAGCAGGGGAUAUCUACCACAUCAAACAGGGCAAGUAGAACUGUAAAAUCCAGAACUUCAUGUCCACAUUGAUGGGAAACUAAAUGUGACUCAAAGUAAACCACUAAUAUCCUUAAAGUGAGAGAGGCAAAAAAAAAUCAAGCUAUUUUCAACUGAUGUUUGACCCAAAGUAAAUCAGUAACAUUUUUUAAAUGGGAGAGAUAACUUCCCCAUAAAAUGAAUUUCCCACAGAUGUUUUAAGAUGGACUGAAAACCACCCCUUUGCUACCUUGCCUUCUAUUUAUAACCCCAACAAACAUCAAAUGCAAGAGAAAUAUUUCUUCCAGUGGUGGAAAUAAGGCAGAUCUGGUUUUACCAAACCAGGUGUUGGUAUUAAUUCAUUGGUAUCCAUAAAUUUGAAACCUAAUUAUCAUCUAAGAAAGAAAAGUAUAAGAUGUUUUUUUCAAUAUUUUUUUACUAUUUUGUAAGAGUUACAGAACUUAAAGCUCAUUUGUUCAGCCAAUUAUUUGUACUUUUAUCAAUAAGAUAAAUUGCUUAGCUUGGAAAUUAAUUUUUUUUACAUAGAACAUCCUCUAAAUAAGUCUUGUAUUGGGGAACAAGAUGCUAUUUUGAUUCAUCAUAGCAUUACUAUAGAUAUUUGUCAUGUAAUGCUAUUUUUUUGCUAUAGAUUUUCCUAAGAGUAUUCUAAUAUAUAUUCAUUCUAUAUUUAAAAUAUAUAUUUAUACCAGAGCUGUAUAAACAAAGUCAUAGCUUAGUACUGUUUAAAAAUUAUAAAUACUUCUAUUUCAUUUUUGAAUACACACAUAUAGCACAUAAAUAACUUUAUGUACAAGGAGUAAAGGAAUUUAAGGAAAGGACAUAACUUAAAAAUGCUUAAUGAAAUCUAAGAAACACAAACAAAGCUGCAUAUCUUGCCAUAAUGCCGGAGGUAAUAUGUCUUCUUCCAAACAGAAGAUUAAAUCUUAACUUUUUCAGUUUUCAAAUUUCAGAUGUGUUCACUUCAUUAUACAGUUAUUUCACAAGUUGUCUUACUGACGUCAAUAAAACACUAGAACUUUUUCUAGACUGAAGCCAUAAAUGUUCCUUAUCUUCCAACAAUUGUGUCUUCCAACUGAAUAAUCUUUUCUACACAAAAAAGGCAAUGGCACACAUUGCAAGAUACAAUUUGGAAACCAGAAAAAGAUAUGGUAAAUUAUUUAGCUUUGUUCUUAUGCACAUCAAUUCAUAAGAAAAUCUUAUUGAAUUGAAAAAAUAAUUAUAGAACAUUAACUUUAAUGUUCCAUGCAUUUUAAUCUAUUUGUUUUACGUAUAGUGUAUGGUAAUAAGGAAACACAUUAAUACUAGAUUUUAAUUGCUGCUUGCAAAGCUAACUGCAGUUUCAUGUCAAAAAUCAAAACGCACAAAACUACGGGUAACCUAUUUUUAGACUCAGUACAGUCAGUACUCAAAAAUAUUUAUUUCAAGUAUAGUAGUGAAAACAGUAUUUGCAUGGAUUGUGCUGUUGGCAUGCCCAAGGCUGCUUCCAUUCAUAUCACUAGCAGCUAAAACCCACCAAAAUGCUUAGUUGUGGUAACAUCAUGUGUGUUUCAAGAUAUGUAAAGCUUCUAUCUGGGCAACAGUAAGAUUUGCUAUUCCCUUCUUCUGGUAUCUUUUUCCAAUCUAGCCUGACAUUUCCUAGUGGUCUUCUAUUCAUGGACAAACCAGGUCCAACCCUGCUUUGCUUUUUGAGGUACCUAAUUCAAGAUGGCAAACAUAUCUAAUUCAUCUCCUUCCUCUUAUUUUCUCCACAACAGCAACCCCACAAGGCCUUCUUUCAUGCCUAAGGCAGGACUAAAACUCACAAACUCCUGCUUUCUAAUCUGAUGCUUAAACCACUGAACCAAACUGGCUCUCACAACUGGCUUAACCCUCACAACUGUGCAAUACUUAAAGCAUGGUGAAAGAUACCCCACAUCAAUUCAAUCAGCAUGAGAGUUUGAUCUAGUACACUACAUAAUCAUUUAGAGCCAUUUCUAAAGGACCUGCAUUCAGAAAGAACUGAAGCACAACAGACUUCCCCGAAGCCCGUGCACCUGAUCUAACUGUGUUCUAGUUAGCACCUGUACCCAAAUGUGCGGGCUUUAACCUUAGCCUUCCUGGAAGGGCAACCUCUACCAUUCCCAGCCAUAUUUUUUCAAAGCGUAAGAAGCCUGAAAUGUAACACAGGGGGCAUCAGGCUAGUAAGGACUCUUCCGCACUUCCCACUCGAAAAGCAUCAGAUCAGCGCCUGGGAGUCGUCGGGUUACCCUGGGGCCCUUUCCCAUUCCCUGCUUCCUGGAACCCAACAUAGCGCGCGAGCGGUAAAAGUGUCAAGAGAGGCGUUCUAUCGCCGAGGAUCCGUUCCCCGAUUGGCCAGACGAGCAUCUACGUCACGACUUGACCCGGCCGCUGAGGAAAGGAAGUGACCCAGCUGGCUUGUGUAACAGCCGCCUUCGCGGGGUAUUUUUUUUUUUGGGGGGGGGACAUUAUGCUGACACAGCGGCCCCUCCUGGUUCUCCCAAAGCACCAAAGACUUGUUAGGA